GCGUGUAGGCUGGUUUUCCAGGCAAAUCCGGAAAAUCAAGGCUGAGGCGUGAUGACGAGGCACUACGGUGCUGAAGCAACAAAUGCCCUGCUUCCAGGAAAAGCCUCUAAGCAUCAGGUAACAUCAAAUCGUACCCCAAACCGACACAGGUGGUCAGGUAGAGAAUACCAAGGCGCUUGAGAGAACUCGGGUGAAGGAACUAGGCAAAAUGGUGCCGUAACUUCGGGAGAAGGCACGCUGAUAUGUAGGUGAGGUCCCUCGCGGAUGGAGCUGAAAUCAGUCGAAGAUACCAGCUGGCUGCAACUGUUUAUUAAAAACACAGCACUGUGCAAACACGAAAGUGGACGUAUACGGUGUGACGCCUGCCCGGUGCCGGAAGGUUAAUUGAUGGGGUCAGCGCAAGCGAAGCUCUUGAUCGAAGCCCCGGUAAACGGCGGCCGUAACUAUAACGGUCCUAAGGUAGCGAAAUUCCUUGUCGGGUAAGUUCCGACCUGCACGAAUGGCGUAAUGAUGGCCAGGCUGUCUCCACCCGAGACUCAGUGAAAUUGAACUCGCUGUGAAGAUGCAGUGUACCCGCGGCAAGACGGAAAGACCCCGUGAACCUUUACUAUAGCUUGACACUGAACAUUGAGCCUUGAUGUGUAGGAUAGGUGGGAGGCUUAGAAGUGUGGACGCCAGUCUGCAUGGAGCCGACCUUGAAAUACCACCCUUUAAUGUUUGAUGUUCUAACGUUGACCCGUAAUCCGGGUUGCGGACAGUGUCUGGUGGGUAGUUUGACUGGGGCGGUCUCCUCCUAAAGAGUAACGGAGGAGCACGAAGGUUGGCUAAUCCUGGUCGGACAUCAGGAGGUUAGUGCAAUGGCAUAAGCCAGCUUGACUGCGAGCGUGACGGCGCGAGCAGGUGCGAAAGCAGGUCAUAGUGAUCCGGUGGUUCUGAAUGGAAGGGCCAUCGCUCAACGGAUAAAAGGUACUCCGGGGAUAACAGGCUGAUACCGCCCAAGAGUUCAUAUCGACGGCGGUGUUUGGCACCUCGAUGUCGGCUCAUCACAUCCUGGGGCUGAAGUAGGUCCCAAGGGUAUGGCUGUUCGCCAUUUAAAGUGGUACGCGAGCUGGGUUUAGAACGUCGUGAGACAGUUCGGUCCCUAUCUGCCGUGGGCGCUGGAGAACUGAGGGGGGCUGCUCCUAGUACGAGAGGACCGGAGUGGACGCAUCACUGGUGUUCGGGUUGUCAUGCCAAUGGCACUGCCCGGUAGCUAAAUGCGGAAGAGAUAAGUGCUGAAAGCAUCUAAGCACGAAACUUGCCCCGAGAUGAGUUCUCCCUGACUCCUUGAGAGUCCUGAAGGAACGUUGAAGACGACGACGUUGAUAGGCCGGGUGUGUAAGCGCAGCGAUGCGUUGAGCUAACCGGUACUAAUGAACCGUGAGG
rnacentral:rRNA from 1 species